rnacentral:rRNA from 1 species
AUUGAACGCUGGCGGCAGGCCUAACACAUGCAAGUCGAGCGAGCGGCGGACGGGUGAGUAAUGUAUGGGGACUGCCCGAUAGAGGGGGAUAACUACUGGAAACGGUAGCUAAUACCGCAUACUAUCGGAUAACCCAUAUGGGAUUAGCUAGUAGGUGAGGUAAUGGCUCACCUAGGCGACGAUCCCUAGCUGGUCUGAGAGGAUGAUCAGCCACACUGGGCCUUAGCAACGGUCCAGACUCCAAGGGAGGCAGCGGUGGGGAAUAUUGCACAAUGGGCGCAAGCCUGAUGCAGCCAUGCCGCGUGUAUGAUGACGGCCUUCGGGUUGUAAAGUACUUUUGGCAGAGAAGCGGUAUCUGCAGAAUAAGCACCGGCUAACUACGUGCCAGCAGCCGCGGUAAUAC